AGGAAGAGUCGGUACAAAUGUAUGUGCAUAUUAUGUGCGAGUGAGCAAAUGAUGGAGUGAGUGUUUGUGUGUGUUGGAGUGACAGUGUGUGCUCUCUAAAACUAAGUUAACAGGUCAUUGUGAUUUAUUCGUUGUUUUUGAGCUAUGUCUGUUUGUUUGAAAUGUGUGAGAAAAUCUGCCUCAUCUUGAAAAUUCUCAGUAAUCUACAGCAGUCUUCUAGAAUUCAAUUUGGGUCUAAAGGAUUAACUAAUUCACCAUCUGUGGGAGAUGGCGUUUUAAACUACACUGGGUCGUUGGACAUUCAAGCCAAUCACUGCAAAGCAUCAUUUUUAGCGUCAGACCAAUCAGGUGCAAAAUGUUAUGCUGCACAACAUAAAUGUGGAGCCUUUGCUGGUAAGUAGCUAGCUAGCUAAUUUCGCCAUUGCAUACAUAUAACUAUAUCCAUUUCCUACAUUUAUUAGCGAUGGUAAGUACACUUUUUAAUAGAUAUUAACGUAAAAAUGAAUUGUAAACUAAGGAUCAAGCUACUCAGUAGAUUAGCUCAAACACAUUGUAAAGAACAUAAGCCCUGAGGAGCAGUAGAUGAUUCAGCUGGCAGAGAUUGCAAUGAGGAGUGCAGGUAUGUAGAUGUCUCUACCCAAUCAAUUAACUAGAUAUUUAAAAAACUGCAUCUCCUGUUUCGGUAGUGUUAGGCUGCUUGAUGUACAAGUACAACCCCUGGACAGGACGUUAGUCUGUUGCAGGGCCUUGGAUACCUAAAACAAAUGUUGUGUCGUCCCUGCUAUGUUGUCCAUUAUUUCCAGAUCAUGUACAGAGGUUCUGCGUUUAUCCCUUACUAAUCGUAUAGGCUAAUACUGUAGGUUACAUGUCAGAAAAGCAGGACAGUUACUGUGGAUUUAAACGUGUUUACUUCUCUUUUGAAGGCAUUCAAGUGAUGGGGUAAAAAAAAAAAAGACAUACAGUUGGGAGGAGAUGAAGAGGCAUACAGAUGGGCCAGAGAAGAUGUCAGCCAAAGCCCUCUGCAUCUACCUGCGGUAUUCUCCCGUGUUCCAGUCACUUCCCACGUGCCUUGGCCCAAUUCUGUGCAAGUACCAGAAUCAUUGACGGUGUUACCCCCAAUACGCAACCAGCUCUGCAGAGGGCCUGAGGCCUUAGGGCCACAUCUGAGAGCUGCUACUGCAUCCUUUUGGAUCUGCCUUCCACUUUCCCCGCAACCAUCGGGACGCUAAACUACAACACCACCACAUAUGGGUGGCCCUUAUUCUGUCGGCAAACCCUAUUCUCACGUACCUUCCUUUCUUUACUUUAUGAAAAGCCAUCUGGCCAUAACUGUUUUGGUAGUUUUGUUAACUGUUUGGAGUGCAUAGGUUCUCACAAUUUGCCAAACCAAUUGAGAAAAUUGUACCAAACUUGUAUUUGACCACAUUCAGGCUCACCUUUUUGUUUAUUUUGUGUGUGGCAUUUCGGAAACUAUCAUAAAGCCUUUGGUUUAUGUCCUCCAGGUUUUUUAUUUUUAGGAAUUGUGUGAUUUUGGUUUAUUUUUUAAAAAUCACAUGGACCUCAUCCUUUGUAUCCCCUUUCACUGGGGUUUUGCCCAACACCAUUUGCUUGAUGAAUUCUGCCAUACUGGUGUUAGUGUCUGCCUACAACAUAACAUUACAAUGUGAUGUUGCAGCAGAAAACACCAGAAACCAGCUACCUGCAUUUUUCCUCUGGACCGAAACUAACACUGACAACCUGCACCUCCCUUCAAGAGGUGACUGAGGCCCAUAUGAGGGAGGAAGUACAGCCACGAACACCAGAGUCUGAAGGGAAACAUAAACAGUUCAACAACGGAUAGGAAAGGGAAAUUGUAAGAGUAGGAUGGAGGAUCCGUGCUGGGAACCAAAAGGGCUGUGUAGUGAAUGGUUCAGUACCCCCCAGAAGACUGGACAAAAUAGACAGAUGGAGAUUUCCCUGCGGAUGGGACACUGAGCACAGAAAAACUGGUAUCUGUAAGAGGCCAACUUGAAGAGAAAGAUUAAAGAAAAACAGGAAGCCUGGCUGGCCUUUCUCUGAGGGGAACCCUUUCAUAGGGCCACUUGUAUCCGCCACUGCCAAAUCCUCCACCAGCAGACGGAGAUGGUGGCCUUCCACCCCCUAAUAACCCACUUGGGGGUGGGCCUGUGCCCGGUGGAGGAACCGUGGGAUCAAGAGCUGUUGGAGGAGCUGCAGAAGGAGCUGAAGACAGAAAGCAACCAGCCAAGACAAGAACCAGAGAAAAUGAGCAAAGAGAAAAAGAGGUAGAGGAUGAGGGGCCCCUUCUGGAACUGACAGAGGGGGAGACUGGAGCUGCUACAACUGUGGGCAGUUAGGGCAUUUCUCUAGACACUGUCCUAGAGCUGGAGAAGGCAAAGGAGAGUGGCCGUCCCCACCUGUUGGCAUGCAUGUGGAUAACCCAUUUGAAAGAGGUGGACGAAGGGACUACUAAAUAUAGGAUGAGGCGGAAACAGAAGAAAAUUAAGAACCAGGAGAAACCUGUCAAACCUAUUGACAUUUUAGUUGGUAAACAUAGAAUUCCAUUUUUGGUUGGCACUGGGGCCGCAGGGCCUGUGCCCGGUGGAGGAACCGUGGGAUCAAGAGCUGUUGGAGGAGCUGCAGAAGGAGCUGAAGACAGAAAGCAACCAGCCAAGACAAGAACCAGAGAAAAUGAGCAAAGAGAAAAAGAGGUAGAGGAUGAGGGGCCCCUUCUGGAACUGACAGAGGGGGAGACUGGAGCUGCUACAACUGUGGGCAGUUAGGGCAUUUCUCUAGACACUGUCCUAGAGCUGGAGAAGGCAAAGGAGAGUGGCCGUCCCCACCUGUUGGCAUGCAUGUGGAUAACCCAUUUGAAAGAGGUGGACGAAGGGACUACUAAAUAUAGGAUGAGGCGGAAACAGAAGAAAAUUAAGAACCAGGAGAAACCUGUCAAACCUAUUGACAUUUUAGUUGGUAAACAUAGAAUUCCAUUUUUGGUUGGCACUGGGGCCGCAGGGCCUGUGCCCGGUGGAGGAACCGUGGGAUCAAGAGCUGUUGGAGGAGCUGCAGAAGGAGCUGAAGACAGAAAGCAACCAGCCAAGACAAGAACCAGAGAAAAUGAGCAAAGAGAAAAAGAGGUAGAGGAUGAGGGGCCCCUUCUGGAACUGACAGAGGGGGAGACUGGAGCUGCUACAACUGUGGGCAGUUAGGGCAUUUCUCUAGACACUGACCUAGAGCUGGAGAAGGCAAAGGAGAGUGGCCGUCCCCACCUGUUGGCAUGCAUGUGGAUAACCCAUUUGAAAGAGGUGGACGAAGGGACUACUAAAUAUAGGAUGAGGCGGAAACAGAAGAAAAUUAAGAACCAGGAGAAACCUGUCAAACCUAUUGACAUUUUAGUUGGUAAACAUAGAAUUCCAUUUUUGGUUGGCACUGGGGCCGCAGUUUCAGUGUUGAAAAUAUCUGCCCUGUCUGCCCCCCCCCCCCCC